GCAGCGCGGGGCAACCUGGCGGCGAGCGGCGAACGGGUGAGUAAUGCAUCGGAACAUGUCCAAUUGUGGGGGAUAGCCCGGCGAAAGCCGGAUUAAUACCGCAUGAGCCCGAGAGGGGAAAGUGGGGGACCGCAAGGCCUCACGCGAUUGGGUUGGCCGAUGUCCGAUUAGCUAGUUGGCGGGGUAAAGGCCCACCAAGGCGAUGAUCGGUAGCUGGUCUGAGAGGAUGAUCAGCCACACUGGGACUGAGACACGGCCCAGACUCCUACGGGAGGCAGCAGUGGGGAAUUUUGGACAAUGGGGGAAACCCUGAUCCAGCCAUUCCGCGUGAGUGAAGAAGGCCUUCGGGUUGUAAAGCUCUUUUGUCCGGAACGAAACGGGUAAGGCUAAUACCUUUGCCUACUGACGGUACCGGAAGAAUAAGCACCGGCUAACUACGUGCCAGCAGCCGCGGUAAUACGUAGGGUGCGAGCGUUAAUCGGAAUUACUGGGCGUAAAGCGUGCGCAGGCGGUUUUGCAAGCCAGAUGUGAAAGCCCCGGGCUCAACCUGGGAAUGGCAUUUGGGACUGCAAGGCUGGAGUGUGGCAGAGGAGACUGGAAUUCCUGGUGUAGCAGUGAAAUGCGUAGAUAUCAGGAGGAAUACCGAUGGCGAAGGCAGGUCUCUGGGCUGACACUGACGCUCAUGCACGAAAGCGUGGGGAGCAAACAGGAUUAGAUACCCUGGUAGUCCACGCCCUAAACGAUGUCGACUGGUUGUUGGGGGUUUGACACUCUCAGUAACGAAGCUAACGCGU
rnacentral:rRNA from 1 species